UGAAGCAGUGAUGAGUAAAUACAAACCUGUAAUGACCGGUGGAUAUGAUCGCAACUCAUUUAUGAACUUCUAAGGGACUGAGAAUUU
rfam:Spinacia oleracea cultivar SynViroflay scaffold12463.con0001.1, whole genome shotgun sequence.